rnacentral:lncRNA from 1 species
CAUAAAUGAAAUGGAUCAGAAAAUCCCGCUUGUGCUGAAGUUUGGGAUCCAAUGGUCACAGCUUUCCCCAAAGCCUCGCUGUCAGCUGAGCUAUGCCAGCCCAAAUGCAGGAUGCGGGGAGACAGGCAGGGAAACGGCCCCGGACGACAGGCAGCAGUGCUGUUCCUCCUGCUGCCAAGAGCUCAAUUGUCGCACAGAUACUGGAGAUCUAUUGCCUAUUCAGAAGGCAGAGUGAAUUAUUCUUUGGUAUUUGCAGAACUAUGGCAACAGCCAAAAAUGUAAGAGGUGUAUUCGGGAUGAGAUGACCAAGAGAGUGAACAAAGCAAGCAAGCUGUUACAAGUAAUCUCUGAAACUGCGUGGGACAUCGCAACGUCUGGGAUGUCUGCUGGCACUGCAGAAAAGGACCGGAUUGCGAUGGGAGCUUCCCAGUACAGAGAGCUGAGCUCCUGUGUGCUGUGUCUGGUCCUGCUUUGCCACGCUGGACCCAGAUGAAAGCUGCUCCCAUCACACAGCAGAUGAAUACCAACUUGCGGGCACAGCGAGGACACCACCAGGACAAAGCACAGAGCUCCUGGGCAGCGUCCCAGCUCUGAGCAGUGUGCAGCAGGCAGGUGGCUGCUGAGAAGUGGGAUUCCUUAGGUGUGGUGCAGCCGCAUCCACGUGCUGGCACUGCCCAUCCUGCUUGUUGACAUUGCAUGCACAAAUCACAGGUGUGAC